CCUGGUGGCUCAGAGGGUAAAGCGUCUGCCUGCAAUGCGGGAGACCUGGGUUCAAUCCCUGGGUCAGGA
rfam:Ovis aries breed Texel chromosome 17, whole genome shotgun sequence.